UCCCUGGCAGUCCAGUGGUUAGGACUCAGCACCUACACCUGCUGAGGGCCCAGGUUCCAUCCCUGGUCAGGGAA
rnacentral:tRNA from 1 species